rnacentral:misc_RNA from 1 species
AUUCACGGACGAUUCUUGGCUAUUCACGUGGGACCAGAUACUGUUGGAGCUUCCCUACACGAUAGAAGAAGAGGCAUCGGAGAAGUUCUCUGAAUGUCUUUAGAAGCUUUCAACUGCUUUCAAAUAUUCAUCGGAGUCUACUAAUGUUCGUCGAUCCCUAUCAAGCAGUACAGAACAGGGUACGUAAUAACAUCGCUACUACUCGAAGUAAUUACCGUGAACCAACCAUAAUUCCUGGCCAUCCGGUUACAUUAGAACGGUGAAUCACGAUGCAACAACUUUCUAGUCAAUAGACAGGAGGGAAAUAGAAAAAAACUCAAGUUUUCAACGUCUACUGUUGCGUCGACUUGUUUCAGUAUUUUUAAUUUUUACUGAAUUAAUUACACAGCGAGUUGUGAGGAUACUUAAUACUUGAUAAACUGCAAAUUAAAAGCGUCGAUGAAGAUGAG